GGUGGUAUAGCUCAGUGGUAGAGUGUGUGCUUAGCAUGCAUGAGGUCUUCAGUUCAAUCCCCAGUAACUCCA
rnacentral:tRNA from 1 species